UUAUUAAUUAUAUUAUUUUUGCUUUUUGUAUAUUUUUAUAUUUAAUAGAAAUAACUUUAAUUAUUUUAUUGUCUUAGUAUAUUUUAUUGAAUUGAUUUUUUGAUUUAUAGUUUAUUAGUAAUGUAAAUGGAUUAUGAAAUAUUUUUUUAGGUUUUAAAAAGUAAAUUUUAUUUUUUGUACCUUUUGUAUCAGGGUUGAUCAAAUUUUUAGUAUUUAUAUACUUGUCUCGAUUUAGGUUGAUUUAUAAACAAAUUAAAGUUAAUGUAUCAUAAUUAUUUUUAAUUUGUUUAUAGAAAUGAGAUGUUAUUCGUUUCCUAAUUUAUCUAGUUUCUUAAGAAAAAAUUUAAUUUUUUAAAGUUGUUUGCUUUUAUUUAAUUUUUUUAUUUAAAAGUGUUAACUUAUUUAUUCUUUAGGGGAUAAGCUCUAAAGGUUAAUAAUCUAUAAUUAAUAUUUUAGAAUAUAAUAGUAAGCUUUAAACCAGCUAUCAUUAAGAUUACGUUUUAGUUCAUUAUUUUUUAUUUUGAUUUUAUAAUGAUUUUAGGUUUUUUAUUAAGAUUUUUAAUUUAAUUUUUAAAUUUUUGUAAUAAUGAUUAAAUUAGUAUAUUUAUUUUGUUUAUGGUAAUUUUAUUUAUUAAUUUAUUAUAAGGAAUUAGGCAAAUUUAAUUUCCGCCUGUUUAUCAAAAACAUGUCCUCUUGAUUUAAUUUAAAUAAAAUACUUUGAGGUCUGGCCUGCUCACUGAAUAUUUUAAAGAGCCGCGGUAUAUUGACCGUGCAAAGGUAGCAUAAUCAUUAGUUUCUUAAUUAGAAGCUGGAAUGAAUGGCUUGACGAGAAAUUAACUGUCUCUUGAUAAAUUUUAGAAUUUAACUUUUGAGUUAAAAGGCUUAAAUUUUACUUUAGGACGAGAAGACCCUAUAGAGCUUUACAUUUUAAUUUUAUAAAGUUUUUUGAUUUUCUUUCUUUAUUUAAUGUUGAUGUUUUGUUGGGGUGACAUGAAGAAUAAAUAAACUCUUCAUUAUAAAAUCAUUAAUUUAUGUUAGUAUUAUGAUCCGUAAUUUAUGAUCAAAAGAUUAAGUUACCUUAGGGAUAACAGCGUAAUUAUUUUUGAGAGCUCAUAUCGACAAAGUAGAUUGCGACCUCGAUGUUGGAUUAAGAAAAAUUUUAGGUGUAGGAGCCUAAUAAUUAGGUCUGUUCGACCUUUAAAUUCUUACAUGAUCUGAGUUCAGACCGGCGUGAGCCAGGUCGGUUUCUAUCCUAAGUUUAUUAAUUUAUAUUAGUACGAAAGGACCAUAUAAAUGAAAUAAUUUUUUUAAUUUUGAUUAAAAUUAAUUUAUU
rnacentral:rRNA from 1 species